UCCGACUUAACGUCGGCAGUCCCUUUAGAGUGCCCAACUUAAUGCUGGCAACUAAAGGCAAGGGUUGCGCUCGUUGCGGGACUUAACCCAACAUCUCACGACACGAGCUGACGACAGCCAUGCAGCACCUGUGUACCGGCCCUUGCGGGCGACAGCAUCUCUGCUAGUCUUCCAGUACAUGUCAAGCCUUGGUAAGGUUCUUCGCGUUGCAUCGAAUUAAACCACAUGCUCCACCGCUUGUGCGGGCCCCCGUCGAUUUCUUUGAGUUUUAAUCUUGCGACCGUACUCCCCAGGCGGGAUACUUAACGCGUUAGCUUCGCCACUGAAGGGGUCAAUACCUCCAACGGCAAGUAUCCAUCGUUUACAGUGCGGAUUAC
rnacentral:misc_RNA from 1 species